GACGGGACGCUGUCCGGUCGGCCGGGGGACGGCCCUUCUGACCCAUGGCGGGCCGAAGCCUGGAAGUGCUCCGCUCCGCCGAGAGCUUGGAAAGGGCCGGGCACCGGACUGCGCGCCCAAAGCCCGGCCUCCUUCCACUCGACCCUGCGGGGAAGGAGCGGAGCCCGGGGGGAGGCCGCCCCUGGCCCAUCCCACCGAGCAGGCCGAGCAGAUGAUCCGGCCGCGCGGCCUCGCAGCCCAGUAAGAGUUACGACCACCUGACAGUUCUACGUCUUGGGGAGCCAACACCGACCACCCGAGUGCCCUUCCUUCUGUGAAAGUUCUUUGAAGUUGUUAAGAAUAUUCUCAAAAGACAAUCAUUACCUUUAGUACUGUUACUUGGGGGAAAAGAAGGUUGGAUUACUGACUUUACAUCAGAACCUACAUUGGAGGGUGUCUGUUUCCCUCCUUUUCUUAGCAAUUUCUCCUAUGCCAUUUAUGGCGUGGGUCAGAGUCCUAAAGAAGUGGAUCAGGUCCUCAACAGCACUAGAAAUCUAAUUAUAAAAAUGAAAACUUUGGAAAACCUUCUCAAGUCAAGAUCUCCAAAAUGCUACUCACGGCUGUUAACACAGUGCACUAAUUAUGCAUAGUGAAGAGUUUAUACUAAGAUUACAAAAGUGCUAGUAGUUAAUAUGCAAGGAAUAAAGUGAAAGUUCAUGGUCAAUGGAUCAUUAUUUCCAAAGUUUGAAGACUUUUCCAGCGGGUUUGAUUUAAAUGUUACAUACUGAGAACUAGGAAGGAGCGACAGCAUCUGUCUGUGUGUCCCUGCUAUUGUGGGAGUGACUGCAGAUUUGGGAGGAAUAAAGUGAUGAAGCUCUGACUUUCCCUGGCCCCAGGGCUGUGUUCCCCUUGGGCCAUUUGCCCCAGGGAGAGGUGUAGGCCUAAUAGGACACUCACUUGGCUCCAUGACCGAACCUCAGGACUGAACAACCCACCCGCUGCCAUAGGAGCACAAGUCACAAGAGCAGGGGACAGGCCUGGCUGACCAGUCACAUGCUGCUUCAUUGCAGAGCUGAUGCCCUAAUGAAGGGUUUGUAAUGUCUCGGUGUGUGACUUUAAGCAGUUUGUCUUCAAAUCUUAAAGUGUCCCUGGCUGUUACUAUGGCUUGAUCCCCACCUACCUGAAGUUGGCCCUCCCGUGUCACCCCUGGUCUUCACUUGGCCUGAGGUCACAGAGCACACGAGGCGGUAUUCACAAAUUACAGGCACUUUUUGAUUAAAGGUGCUUUGGCAUUGGGAGAAAGUGUGUCCUUCUUGCCUGCCCUUUACUCUGCCCAGGAGACUGGAAAGAAUAAAAGACUAUAGAAAGUUCAUUUUAGGAGAAUUAAAGAUCUUAAUUAGAGACAUAGCCUCAGUUGCAGUAGGAUUAGGUUCCUGGGGAAGGUAACAGGCAAAAUCCUGAAGGAGUCUCACAGAGAGGAAGUCGGGUCGUCUUGCCUGCAUGGGAAGCAUGUGCUGUUGGACAGAUUCUCUUCUGGUUGUACCACCGUUGGUGACCAGCCCUGAUUGGGUAGUGGGGAGGGGGCCCACAGGCGUGGGUAGUUUCGUCUGUUCCUUUGAUUCUAUUGCCAUCAAUGUCUUAACCAUAAAGAAAUACUUAGAUGUUAA